GACGAACGCUGGCGGCGUGCUUAACACAUGCAAGUCGAACGGAGAAUUUAUUUCGGUAAAUUCUUAGUGGCGAACGGGUGAGUAACGCGUGGGCAACCUGCCCUUCAGAUGGGGACAACAUCCCGAAAGGGGUGCUAAUACCGAAUACGAUCACGCUGCCGCAUGGCGGUGUGAUGAAAGAUGGCCUCUAUUUAUAAGCUAUCGCUGAAGGAUGGGCCUGCGUCUGAUUAGCUAGUUGGUGGGGUAACGGCCUACCAAGGCGAUGAUCAGUAGCCGGUCUGAGAGGAUGAACGGCCACAUUGGGACUGAGACACGGCCCAAAACUCCUACGGGAGGCAGCAGUGGGGAAUAUUCCGCAAUGGACGAAAAGUCUGACGGAGCAACGCCGCGUGAGUGAUGAAAGGUUUUCGGACUGUAAAACUCUGUUGUUUAGGACGAAAAGUGCCUGUUGCAAAAUAGUUGCAGGUAUUGACGGUACUGAACGAGGAAGCCACGGCUAACUA
rnacentral:rRNA from 1 species